CCCCGGCGGGGGUGAAAACGAGGGGAAAGGACUGGCCUCGCGUCUCUCGGGGGGCGGGAAGAGGAAGAAAAAAACACACGCCCGCUUUCCUGAUGCGUUUACGGGCCCCACCGUGAAGGCUAGCGUUCGGGAGCCUGCUGCUGCUGUUGUUUUCCCCAGUGCCGCUUUCUCUUCUGUUGCCGAAGUUUAGGCCUAACCUAAACGGGCCGCUUCCUAACCGCCACCAACCAGAGUUUCGGGACUCAAACCUUACAGAUUACUCCCCUGCCCCCAUCAACCCAAGCUAUUAAUCUUGCUUCUUGCUCGCUCCACCAUAGCGCAUCUUCCCACCAGGAAGGGGCACAGCUGGCUACACCGGGGUGUGUCUGUACUUUUCAAGAAAUGUAAGCAGCUCGCGAUCUCUGGCAACUUGUAAAGCACAGCCUUUAAGUGCUGUGUAUUUUCGCAAGCGCUGAACUACUGUGGUUUGGGCAGUAGAAGUCUAUAUAGAGUUUAGAAUUUAAUUAGCUGGCCUCCUGAAUUGUUUUUAACUGAAUCUAAACUGAAGGAGGUGGGGUGGGAUCAGCCCACGAAUGGAAAAAAAGCCAACUUUCCUUGGUGUGAUGAACAUCCAAGCUAACCUAUUAGUAACAUAUAGCUAAGUCGUGUAAGUUUAGGUUUAAAAAAUGACACUAGUAUUCAGGAAUGUCAAUAAAGUUUCCAACAGGUAGCUUUUGUUUGAGCAGUGAGUGGAUAUUCUAGGCAGCUGCCUAACUUUUCAUUAUUUGAGGCUGAAAUACAAUAGCUUUCUCAAAAGCUACUUGGAGAAAGUGCUAGGGGUUGUUUAGUUAGAUAGCUACUUGAGGAAGGGCUUAAUUGGCAUACUUCUAAAGAGGUAUAAUAGUAUGUAUUUCUCUUACAUUCCACAUAAGAUCUGUUGGACUGAUGCUAGGACUUAAGUUUAUCUUUUUGUCUUCUCAAUUCUCAUGCAUUACCUUGACAAACAUUCAUUGAAGGUCCAGAGUUCUGUGACCAUGUUUUCUGAGCUCCAACUCAUGAUAUGUGAUGAGGAAUUUUUCUGCAGGAUGAGACAUAAGAAGAUAUUCAAAUACCAAAGUAACUAUGGAAAUAGGAGGAACAAAGAAGAAUUCUUGAAAGUCUCUAGGUAAAGAUAAAAGGAAAACAGAAUAAAGAAGAUCUCACAGCAGGGGCUUGUGACAGAUCUCCAAAUCAGGAAGUCAGGGAAGAUGAAGUGGAACGAAGCCAAAUCUCCACAUCCAGAGAGAUGGCCCAUAGAUUUCAACUACCCAGUUAACUUUCAGAUAACUCACUCAGGAGAAUAGAACUGGAAAUGUACAAAGCAUAAGUUUAAUUCUCUCAGUAAAUGAUGCAGAAAGAGUAGCAAGAAUUUUGAAAAUGGUCUCACACCCGGAAGAAGAUUUUAUAGACUGCCUGAAUGUCUUAACCUGGAGAAGAACGAUCCUGGAUUAGCCAAAGUCUAAGGCAUUUCUGUCAGGCAUCCUCAUGAGCAAAUUCAAGACAGGAUGCUGCAGGCAUACUAAGUCAAUUGGAAGCGUGUUUGGGGCCUUGAUUACUACCUGUGUGUACCUUGCUAAGCAGAACCUCAUGGAUGAGUCUGCUACCAAGUCAAUGACAUAUAAAGUGCACUGAAUUUCAGAAAGAAAGAUUUUUCUGUGUGCCGUAAAUCUUGUGAUAAUAUUUGUCAUUAGCUCAAGCACUGAUCCAUAGUUCAAAGGAAAUUUACACUUCCACUCAGUAAGACAGAUUUUUAUCUUCUUAAAUCUUGGUACCAGAGGCCUAAAGAAAAAUAGCCAAGCAAAAAAAUGUAAGGUUGAAUGGCCUUGUUUAUUCAUCUCUGUGACAUUCUCAUAACAACUCAACAGUGACAAUGAGCCUGGAGGGUCAGCAACUCUUUGCAGUGGGCACUUGUUGUGGUAGCUCCACGAUGCAUGCUUCCCCUUCUCUGAGGAGCUGCCAACAUGCACCCAUAUGUCCUCUCCUCUCCUGCCCUGACAGCCAUCUCAGUGUUAGGAAAGAGCCCCUGGAGCAUGGUUUAUCAAUUCAGGUCUGUCAUCUGAUCUAAAGUCAGCUGAUCAAUUUGCCUCCCUCAUGAAUUUGAAAUGUUGCCAGAGGAGCAACUGUGUUAUUGGAAGUUGUUAGUAUCUGAGACACAUUGCAAUGCUCUCGGGGGAAGACCUACAACCUCCUGCAGAAGAAAUACAUGGAAUUGCCCUAGCCAUUUUGGAGCCAAGGUUUAAUUCCUUCUUUGAUUCUAUGAGAUAUUCCAG
ensembl:lncRNA